rnacentral:rRNA from 1 species
GGUUAAGUUAGAAAGGGCGCACGGUGGAUGCCUUGGCACUAGGAGCCGAAGAAGGACGGGACUAACACCGAUAUGCUUUGGGGAGCUGUACGUAAGCGUUGAUCCAGAGAUUUCCGAAUGGGGGAACCCACUAUCUUUAGUCGGAUAGUAUCCUUACGUGAAUACAUAGCGUGAGGAAGGCAGACCCAGGGAACUGAAACAUCUAAGUACCUGGAGGAAGAGAAAGAAAAAUCGAUUUCCUGAGUAGCGGCGAGCGAAACGGAAAGAGCCCAAACCAAGAAGCUUGCUUCUUGGGGUUGUAGGACACUCUAUACGGAGUUACAAAAGAAAGUUAUAAAUGAAGCGGUCUGGAAAGGCCCGCCAAAGACGGUAACAGCCCGGUAGUUGAAAUAGCUUUCCCUCCAGAGUGGAUCCUGAGUACGGCGGAACACGUGAAAUUCCGUCGGAAUCCGGGAGGACCAUCUCCCAAGGCUAAAUACUCCCUAGUGACCGAUAGUGAACCAGUACCGUGAGGGAAAGGUGAAAAGCACCCCGGAAGGGGAGUGAAACAGUUCCUGAAACCGUGUGCCUACAAGUAGUUAGAGCCCGUUAAUGGGUGAUAGCGUGCCUUUUGUAGAAUGAACCGGCGAGUUACGAUUUGUUGCAAGGUUAAGCGGAAAAAGCGGAGCCGUAGCGAAAGCGAGUCUGAAUAGGGCGCAUAAGUAACAGGUCGUAGACCCGAAACCAGGUGAUCUACCCAUGUCCAGGAUGAAGGUAAGGUAAUAC